rnacentral:rRNA from 1 species
GAUUGUAGGCUGAAACUCGCCUACAUGAAGCUGGAGUUACUAGUAAUCGCAGAUCAGAAUGCUGCGGUGAAUGCGUUCCCGGGUCUUGUACACACCGCCCGUCACACCACGGAAGUUGGGGGCGCCCGAAGCCACUUAGCUAACCCUUUUGGGAAGCGAGUGUCGAAGGUGAAAUCAAUAACUGGGGUGAAGUCGUAACAAGGUAGC